CACGCUCCACACAGAUAAUUAAAUCUGAGCAUGUGGCCAUCCAGUCGUUAGAGGAUGUAACACCAGUAGUUAUUGUAGAUGAGGAAUCUAUGUUAGCUACAUUCAGGUGU
rnacentral:sRNA from 12 species